CAAAGAUGAUUAGCGGCCUGGAGCACCACCCUGACAAGGAAAGGCUGAGAGAGCUGGAACAGUUCAGCCUAGAGAAGGCUAAGGGGUCAUCUUAUCAAUGCUUAUAAAUAUUUAAAGACAGGCAUCAAGUGUACUGGGCCAGGUUCUUUUUGACAGUUCUUAGCAGUGGGAUGAGGUGCAGUGGCAUAAACUGGAACAUAGGAAGUUCCACCUGAGAAAGAACUUCUUUACUCUGUGGGUGACAGAGAACUGGGACAAGCUGUCUAGAGAGGCUGUGGAGUCUUCUUUUCUGUAGAUAUUCAAAACCUGCCUGGAUACUUUCCUGCGCAACCUACUGUAGGGAACCUGAUUUAGCAGGGGGGUAGACUUGAUGAUCUCCAGAGAUCCCUUCCAACCCCUACAAUUCUGUGACUCUGUGAUUCACAUCCCCUUCAGCAAUAGAUUCUUUUGCUAACUUCUCUCUACCAGUUCCCUGAGAAUGACAGUAAUGUCUGAGGAUGUGCAGUAAACUCAGAGCUCACCAAGCUAAAUCCUAUGAAGAUCCAGCAGAGACCAUCCUGGCCUUCUCCACCUCAUGAGCUGUGACUUUGCUCACAAGUUGAGAAUGAAGGUUUGAACAUCUGAGAACUGAGCUAACCUGGAGCAGACUUCAAAUGCAGAAAAAUCAGAAAGCUGAAUGAACGUGGGCAACAACCUCUGCACGCAAGCUGAGGUGUCACAGAAAGACCUGGUGGCAGGAAGAGGGCAGCAGAGUACCAUCUGGCUGUCUAGGGACAUAAGGUUUGCUACUUGAGACUGCAGAGGAUCAUCAUUGCUCCAUGAAAUACAGUUUUGGGAGCUGACUGCAAAAGCCCAGCCUGGAGUAAGUCAACAUGUUGCCAUUGGUACAACAUUAAUUUGUGCCAACUGUCAAACAGACUCUCCUGUGCACAAGACUGUGCAUGUACCAGCUGUAAACCCAAACCUUUCCAUUGGAUUUCCUGUCACUUCUCAGAGAACAAAUGUUCCAACUUAGCUAUAGC
rnacentral:lncRNA from 1 species